rnacentral:rRNA from 1 species
UACAGAGGCCUCAAGCGUUGUUCGGAAUUACUGGGCGUAAAGGGAAUGUAGGUGGUGGCGUAAGUCAGAUGUGAAAGCCCUGGGCUCAACCUGGGAAGUGCAUUUGAUACUGCGUCGCUUGAGUGCGAUAGAGGAGAGCGGAAUUCCUGGUGUAGGAGUGAAAUCCGUAGAUAUCAGGAGGAAUACCGAUGGCGAAGGCAGCUCUCUGGCUCGUAACUGACACUGAGAUUCGAAAGCGUGGGUAGCAAACAGG